rnacentral:rRNA from 1 species
AACGAACGCUGGCGGCAGGCUUAACACAUGCAAGUCGAGCGCCCCGCAAGGGGAGCGGCAGACGGGUGAGUAACGCGUGGGAAUCUACCCAUCUCUACGGAAUAACGCAUGGAAACGUGUGCUAAUACCGUAUACGUCCUUCAGGACAAAGAUUUAUCGGAGAUGGAUGAGCCCGCGUUGGAUUAGCUAGUUGGUGGGGUAAAGGCCUACCAAGGCGACGAUCCAUAGCUGGUCUGAGAGGAUGAUCAGCCACACUGGGACUGAGACACGGCCCAGACUCCUACGGGAGGCAGCAGUGGGGAAUAUUGGACAAUGGGCGCAAGCCUGAUCCAGCCAUGCCGCGUGAGUGAUGAAGGCCCUAGGGUUGUAAAGCUCUUUCACCGGUGAAGAUAAUGACGGUAACCGGAGAAGAAGCCCCGGCUAACUUCGUGCCAGCCGCCGCAGUAACAC